rnacentral:rRNA from 1 species
AUACGUAGGUGACAAGCGUUAUCCGGAUUUACUGGGCGUAAAGGGCGUGUAGGCGGUCUUGCAAGUCAGAAGUGAAAUUCCUGAGCUCAACUCGGGCGCUGCUUCUGAAACUGCAGGACUUGAGUGCUGGAGGGGAUAGCGGAAUUCCUAGUGGAGCGGUAAAAUGCGCAGAUAUUAGGAAGAACACCGGUGGCGAAGGCGGCUAUCUGGACAGUAACUGACGCCGAGGCGCGAAAGCGUGGGGAGCAAACAGGAUUAGAUCCCCUGGUAGUCCACGCCGUAAACGAUGAAUACUAGGUGUAGGGGGUAUCGACUCCCUCUGUGCCGCAGUUAACACAAUAAGUAUUCCGCCUGGGGAGUACGGCCGCAAGGUUGAAACUCAAAUGAAUUGACGGGG